rnacentral:rRNA from 1 species
AACGAACGCUGGCGGCAGGCUUAACACAUGCAAGUCGAGCGAGACCUUCGGGUCUAGCGGCGGACGGGUGAGUAACGCGUGGGAACAUGCCCUUCUCUACGGAAUAGCCCCGGGAAACUGGGAGUAAUACCGUAUACGCCCUUUGGGGGAAAGAUUUAUCGGAGAAGGAUCGGCCCGCGUUGGAUUAGGUAGUUGGUGGGGUAAUGGCCCACCAAGCCGACGAUCCAUAGCUGGUUUGAGAGGAUGAUCAGCCACACUGGGACUGAGACACGGCCCAGACUCCUACGGGAGGCUGCAGUGGGGAAUCUUAGACAAUGGGGGCAACCCUGAUCUAGCCAUGCCGCGUGAGUGAUGAAGGCCUUAGGGUUGUAAAGCUCUUUCAGCUGGGAAGAUAAUGACGGUACCAGCAGAAGAAGCCCCGGCUAACUCCGUG